ACCACCCUCGUCGCCUACCGCUCAAAAAAAGAAAAAGAAAAAACCUCGUCAGGGAAGCACGCCCCGAGCGCGGGCUCUGCCGCCGCCGCCACAAGCCUCCUCCACGCCUCCCCUCCGGUCCGCCCCCCUUUGCUCGUCGUCCCCACAUACCCGCCGCCGCCGCACGACGCAUGAGCCGCACGCCCGCACCCUGCCUCUUCGGAGUCGCCGCCGCCGCCCAGGCCGGGUGGUGAGGCUGGUGGUGGCUGUAGGUAGGUGAUGUAGAUGGAGAUGCGACGCUUGCGGCGGUGCCGGCCGGCUGAUAAUACGUGCAGGUUGCAGCAGCUAAUAGAGACGCUGUCUGUCUCUGUCUAGGAAACUCACUCAUCGCCUGAGAGACAAAUUGGUGAUUCCAUCCAUGGAUUGGUUUGGUUUGGUUGUUCCAUCGAUGAAUCCCAUGCACGUCGGUCUGAUUCACCUGGCUGGUCUCUUCCAUGCUCCGCCACCAUCAGCUUUCUCCACGCCUCGCAACCAUCAGCCUCCUUCACGCCGAUUGAAGAGCUGGCCUAAUCACAAAACACUCCACCACCAUCUGAAGGAAAAAAAACCCACCACCACCAGCCUCCCUGCUGCUCCGGCUAUGCGGCAGCUACCACUGCGACUCCUGCGCUCUGCGGCGGCCGGAUCACUCCGGAGCCCCACCCUCUCACGUGGCGGCUGUCCUGUCCCUCUAGCGCCACAUCUGUCGGCGGAGGCAGCCGCCACGCCGGCCGAGCUUGCCCGCUGGCUACCGCGGAGAGGGUACUCCCGGUUCGCGAGCGGAUUCACCCCCUUGGAGCCGAAGAAGCUGGGAUCCAUCCUCGACGUCGAGCGCGCCAAGGGCCUCUCCCCCGAACACCUCGUCGCGGCAUGGGAUGACUUUUCCAGGUGAAAAUCGUUUAACGGGACAUAUUAAUGGGUCGGAUGGGUAAGAUGGAUCGUGUGUGGAGAUAGGCAGGGAAAGCAAGAAAAGGGAAGGCAGAUGGAUAUUUGUGGGUUGCCCAUAUUUUGUUAUUCCUUUGUGGAGAGGAAGUGGAUGUACCACCAUGUUUAUGCAAGGUCGCUGCCCUCUGCUCUCUCACGACCACGCCCUCGGGGCAGUUUUCCAUUGCCCAGCGCCCCACACCUCGCCCCACCUCUUCCCUCCCCGCCAGCCACCGCCUGCCUCCAUCUGCACGCGUCGCCGGACCGCCGCGUCCACGCGUAGCCCGGACUGCCUCCCACGCUCCAAGCGCCCGGUCCGCCACGCCCACGCUUGAGGCGCCCAGGCCGCCCCAUCCAUGCUCCAGGUGGACCGCGGCGCCCACGCUCGAGGCUCCCGGGCCGCCCCGUCCAUGCUCCAGGCGGACCACGGCGCCAUAGCUCCAGGCGCCCGGACCGCCACGCUCACGCUCCAGCCGCUCGGGCCGCCGCGUCCACGCACCGCCCGGACACAGGCACCGCCGGUCCUCCACACUGCAGGAUGAGCAAGAGUAAUCCAGACAAAGUUCCAGGAAUGACUACGCAUCGUUCCCCAUUUAAAGACAUAACGAACUCGUCUAUGAUUGAGAAUGCAAAUGUCACUACUAAUAGUCAAGAAGCAAAAAAGAAUACAUUGUAUGCCCGAAUGUCUGAUGAGAAGAGAGCAGCAUUCCUUGAAAAACGUCGUAUGUCCCGACAAGAAAAGAAGUCUCAGGCUCUGAAUAUUGUUAAUGGUCAACUAACAGUUGAGGCACAUGCUCCGUUAGGAUCCAAGGAAUGUACACCUUUGAGAAACAUAACCAACACACACACAAAUGGUAUGUUCAUACUCUGCAUAUCAUAAUUAUUGAAUGACCAUUUGCUCAUUUUGCUAGGAGGUUUGUCUCCUGCGUUGUGUCAGAUGCAACAUGUACUGAAGCCGCAGGACACCCUUGAACAGCGGGAUCUGCCGCCUCCCUUGGACUUCGCCGGCAAGGCGUGAUCCGUCGUCGCCACCCACUCCUCCCAUGGGAGGAUGCGGCUGCUAUCAUCAACCUCCGCUCCUGGGCGUGCUCCCAAAUUCAAUAUGUUAGAUUUGCAGAGACUGAUGUUGCAUGACGCAAGAAGAAACAUGUGGUUCUGUUGCGAAUCACCGCAGCGAUGCAGUGCCAUGGAAGCUGGAGAAUUUUUAUCUACUAUACUUGUUCGUUGCCUGCAUCAUAUUGCAGUUCCAAAGUCCACAUAAGGAAUUUUAAAUAAUACAUAAUUCAUUGGCGUGUACUCUGUCAUAGGAUGUUGCUUUACAUUUUGGGCGCACCAUGUUUUAACUGAGAAGGCAGUUGUUGGUACAGUUAGAGUUCAAAGAGGUCCUUCGACGAGGGUGUGUCAAAACUCAGCUAGGCGCUUCGAUGUCAACUGUGGUUCCUUCACUACCCUCCUUAUUCGGUGUUCCACCUCACCACUCCCCAGCAGUGGGAGCAGAGCAGCCGACGGGUUCCUGGCUUACCUGCCUUGCAAAGAGCUGGUGCUUUUUUGGAAAUUUGAUAACACCACAAGCAGCAAUCGAUUUUGAAAGCCAAAAAACAUCCAAGACAUGUACAGUGGGAGUACUACCAGUUUAGGAGCAAAGUAACCAUUACUAGAGUAAUGAAUAUGAGAAAUGAAUAGUUGAUGAAACUGAGCACUGUUGUAAUUCUCGACAGUGAAAUGGUCUUUUUUGUCCCAGUAAAGGUUGGAGGCAGAAUCAGCUUCAAUCUCGAGUACCCAAUUGUAGAGAAGACGAAAGGAGGCACAACAUAUAUGGAAGUACGAACUCUGGCAGUAACAAUUUUAUGUUUCCAAGUUAGGUUGAUGAUAUUCAACUUAAUAGAACCCAAACUUUUGUUGUUGAGUUCAAUAUACAGUGUCCCGUGUAUAGUUUUUAAGGUGUCAUGUUUCUCAAGAGAAUACAUCUGCACGUAAGGAACUAGCUACCAGUAUCAAUCUAAAUGAACAAGCUCAUAAGCAGCCUUUGCUUUUGAUUCAUUCAUUUU